UGGGGAAUAUUGCACAAUGGGCGCAAGCCUGAUGCAGCCAUGCCGCGUGUGUGAAGAAGGCCUUCGGGUUGUAAAGCACUUUCAGCGAGGAGGAAGGUGGUGAACUUAAUACGUUCAUCAAUUGACGUUACUCGCAGAAGAAGCACCGGCUAACUCCGUGCCAGCAGCCGCGGUAAUACGGAGGGUGCAAGCGUUAAUCGGAAUUACUGGGCGUAAAGCGCACGCAGGCGGUUUGUUAAGUCAGAUGUGAAAUCCCCGGGCUCAACCUGGGAACUGCAUUUGAAACUGGCAAGCUAGAGUCUCGUAGAGGGGGGUAGAAUUCCAGGUGUAGCGGUGAAAUGCGUAGAGAUCUGGAGGAAUACCGGUGGCGAAGGCGGCCCCCUGGACGAAGACUGACGCUCAGGUGCGAAAAGCGUGGGGGCAGCAAAACAGGAUUAGAUACCCUGGUAGUCCACGCUGUAAAACGAUGUCGAUUUGGAGGUUGUGCCCUUGAGGCGUGGCUUCCGGAGCUAACGCGUUAAAUCGACCGCCUGGGGAGUACGGCCGCAAGGUUAAAACUC
rnacentral:rRNA from 1 species